CAAAAUCAGUGCAGUUUGAACAUAAACUUUCUGACAGAGCGAUGGCGCAGAGCCCGCUGUUCCUGGGAAAAGCCACCUGCCAAUCAUCCUUGGAGCAGCAGCCAUUCUCAGGAUCUCCUACAUCACAGAUCACCUAAUAAACACAGGACCUGUCGACGACUGGAGAAAAGGAGAAACGCUGAAGCACACUGGGCAUUUUGGAAGCAUUUCAUCAUAAUAAAUUACCUUUGCCUUUACA